rnacentral:rRNA from 1 species
CGGACGGGUGUGUAAUGUCUGGGAAACUGCCCGAUGGAGGGGGAUAACUACUGGAAACGGUAGCUAAUACCGCAUAACGUCGCAAGACCAAAGAGGGGACCUUCGGGCCUCUUGCCAUCGGAUGUGCCCAGAUGGGAUUAGCUAGUAGGUGGGGUAACGGCUCACCUAGGCGACGAUCCCUAGCUGGUCUGAGAGGAUGACCAGCCACACUGGAACUGAGACACGGUCCAG